rnacentral:piRNA from 1 species
UUGUUCGAGCAAACACUUUUC